AGGUAUCUGUUGAUUCAGAUUCAAAAGGGAACACGGGUGAGAAUCCCGGACAGUCCCGCUGCUGUAUUUCUCAGAUAUCGGUUCAGGAUGAGCAGCCGCUCUCUUGGUUGCAACAAACGCCACUGGCCGUAGGGCCGGGAAGGUUCCUGAAACGGGAGAUAAGUCAGAAGACCUGCCCUGAAUCU
rnacentral:ncRNA from 1 species